rnacentral:rRNA from 1 species
AUACGGAGGGUGCAAGCGUUAAUCGGAAUUACUGGGCGUAAAGCGCGCGUAGGCGGCUUUGUAAGUCGGAUGUGAAAGCCCUGGGCUCAACCUGGGAAUUGCAUUCGAAACUGCAGAGCUAGAGUAUGGUAGAGGGAAGUGGAAUUUCCGGUGUAGCGGUGAAAUGCGUAGAUAUCGGAAGGAACACCAGUGGCGAAGGCGACUUCCUGGGCCAAUACUGACGCUGAGGUGCGAAAGCGUGGGGAGCAAACAGGAUUAGAAACCCCGGUAGUCC